rnacentral:rRNA from 1 species
UACGAAGGGGGCUAGCGUUGCUCGGAAUCACUGGCGUAAGGCGCGUAGGCGGCCAUUCAAGUCGGGAGGUCGAAAGCCCAGGGCUCAACCCUGGAAUUGCCCUUCGAUACUGUCUGGCUAGAGACCGGAAGAGGUAAGUGGAACUGCGAGUGUAGAGGUGAAAUUCGUAGAUAUUCGCAAGAACACCAGUGGCGAAGGCGGCUCACUGGCCCGAUACUGACGCUG